rnacentral:rRNA from 1 species
GGUGAACGCUGGCGGUAGGCCUAACACAUGCAAGUCGAACGGCAGCACAGUAAGAGCUUGCUCUUACGGGUGGCGAGUGGCGGACGGGUGAGGAAUACAUCGGAAUCUACUUUUUCGGGGGGGAUAACGUAGGGAAACUUACGCUAAUACCGCAUACGACCUACGGGUGAAAGCAGGGGAUCUUCGGACCUUGCGCGAUUGAAUGAGCCGAUGUCGGAUUAGCUAGUUGGCGGGGUAAAGGCCCACCAAGGCGACGAUCCGUAGCCGGUCUGAGAGGAUGAUCGGCCACACUGGAACUGAGACACGGUCCAGACUCCUACGGGAGGCAGCAGUGGGGAAUAUUGGACAAUGGGCGCAAGCCUGAUCCAGCCAUACCGCGUGGGUGAAGAAGGCCUUCGGGUUGUAAAGCCCUUUUGUUGGGAAAGAAAAGCAGCAGGUUAAUACCCCGCUGUUCUGACGGUACCCAAAGAAUAAGCACCGGCUAACUUCGUG